rnacentral:snRNA from 1 species
GGAUGUGAGGGUGAUUUGGCUGUGACAUCUGUCGCCCCGUUGAUCGCUGGGUUGAGGCUGAUCCGGCUGGCUAGGUGGGUGUCCCCUUCCUCCCUCACGGGUCCACGUGCGUGCCUUCCACAGCUGGGCACUCAGUGGAAGGGGACGACCUUCCCGGAUAGAGCAGCAUCAUUCUUGGUCAGGGGUAUAUGAGUAGCUGCACUCCCCCGCUAGAACCUCCAAACGAGCUCUCAAAAAUAGGUCAGUAGUCAGCAAAUACCACUGUAGAAGCUGGGCUGAAGGCAAUAGGAAGGGGUUUAAAUAGACUAACAGU